AACAAUGCCCAUGAUAAUAUGUCAAGAAUUACUCUUUUACCUAUUUCUAGUUUUUGUAGAAGUAAAACAUCCUACAACUUAAUUCGAAGCCGAUUAUCUCUGCUUAAAAUACAUUAUGCUAUGAAUCUUGGUUGAACCCAGUAAAAGAAGAUUUACAAUGUCCAAAAACAAGUUGUAACAAAUAAAUAUAUAUUUCCACUGCAUUGCUCCGAAUUCGAAGAAAUAUCGGCUGAUAAAAAUCUGACACAAAGUUAUUAUUAUUAUAUAUUGGUACAUAGCCUUGACUUUCGUCAUUGUCCAACUUUAUAGUGGUUCAUUAUUAUCAUUACACUCAAAAGAAACAAAGUUGCUCAUCAAAGUUAUAAUUCAGGCUCCUGAACUCGAGAUUGGCGAAGUUUCCCUUUUCUUUCAUAGGUGGAGAUGACAGCGUAUAAUUUGAUGCGAGCGCUAUAGGAAAAGAUGCGGAAACCAACUGAAGUAUUGUCAAUAUUCUUUAAAUCAAAGAAGGCUGGUCGUUCAGAAGUCAAUAGUUUUUGGGCCCACCAGUUUUUCUAAACAUUUUGAAAAUACAUACUUGUGUCAUUCACAAAUAGACUUUAGAACUAGAUCAAUUGAAAUAAUGUUUUAGAUGAAUUGUAAUCAUUUAGCUCAUAAAUUGGAAAAAAAUUUACACGAAAUUAUUUCCUUUUCAACUUCCAGUGCAAUAACAAUGGAGAUAUUUACGUUUAAAAUGACGAUGAUAAUGCAGAACUGAAUUUCAUUAGGUUCUUCAAAAAUGUCGAAUGAUUGACCUGUGAAUGACCCUGUAUAUGAUUAUGUUGAAUGUAUGAAAACAAUUAUUGAAGAAUGGAAUUUGUAGUUA